CAGCCGUAAACAAUGUGCGUUAGGUGUGUCGGUAACCACGCGUUACUGAUGCGCCGAAGAGAAAUCGUGAAACGCACCACCUGGGAAGUACGGUCGCAAGGCUGAAACUUAAAGGAAUUGGCGGGGGAGCACCACAACAGAUGGAGCCUGCGGUUUAAUUGGAUUCAACGCCGGACAUCUCACCGGAUAAGACAGCUGAAUGAUUGUCAAUCUGAAGGUUUUACAUGACUAGCUGAGAGGAGGUGCAUGGCGUCAGUGACU
rnacentral:rRNA from 1 species